rnacentral:rRNA from 1 species
UACAGAGGUCUCAAGCGUUUGUUCGGAUUCAUUGGGCGUAAAGGGUGCGUAGGUGGCGCCGUAAGUCGGGUGUGAAAUUUCGGAGCUUAACUCCGAAACUGCAUUCGAUACUGCGGUGCUUGAGGACUGGAGAGGAGACUGGAAUUCAGGUGUAGCAGUGAAAUGCGUAGAUAUCGUGAGGAAGACCAGUGGCGAAGGCGGGUCUCUGGACAGUUCCUGACACUGGAGGCAGCGAAGGCUAGGGGAGCAAACGGG